rnacentral:rRNA from 1 species
GAUGAACGCUGGCGGCGUGCCUAAUACAUGCAAGUCGAGCGAACAGACGAGGAGCUUGCUCCUCUGACGUUAGCGGCGGACGGGUGAGUAACACGUGGAUAACCUACCUAUAAGACUGGGACAACUUCGGGAAACCGGAGCUAAUACCGGAUAAUAUAUUGAACCGCAUGGUUCAAUAGUGAAAGACGGUUUUGCUGUCACUUAUAGAUGGAUCCGCGCCGCAUUAGCUAGUUGGUAAGGUAACGGCUUACCAAGGCAACGAUGCGUAGCCGACCUGAGAUGGUGAUCGGCCACACUGGAACUGAGACACGGUCCAGACUCCUACGGGAGGCAGCAGUAGGGAAUCUUCCGCAAUGGGCGAAAGCCUGACGGAGCAACGCCGCGUGAGUGAUGAAGGUCUUCGGAUCGUAAAACUCUGUUAUUAGGGAAGAACAAAUGUGUAAGUAACUAUGCACGUCUUGACGGUACCUAAUCAGAAAGCCACGGCUAACUACGUG